CCUACGGGUGGCAGCAGUGGGGAAUAUUGCACAAUGGGGGGAACCCUGAUGCAGCGACGCCGCGUGAGUGAAGAAGGAUUUCGGGAUGUAAAGUUCUAUCAGCAGGGAAGAAGAUGACGGUAUCUGACUAAGAAGCGCCGGCUAACUACGCGCCAGCAGCCGCGGUAAUACGUAGGGGUCAAGCGUUAUCCGGAUUUACUGGGUGUAAAGGGAGCGUAGACGGCAGGGCAAGUCUGGAGUGAAAGCCCGGGGCCCAACCCCGGGACUGCUUUUGAAACUGUCAUGCUUGAGUGCUGGAGAGGGAAGCGGAAUUCCUAGUGUAGCGGUGAAAUGCGUAGAUAUUAGGAGGAACACCAGUGGCGAAGGCGGCUUACUGGACAGUAACUGACGGUGAGGCUCGAAAGCGUGGGGAGCAAACAGGAUUAGAUACCCUUGUAGUC
rnacentral:rRNA from 1 species